AAAUAGGGGACCCCUUGCGUGAACGCUCUCCGUAUUCACUGCGCGCCUUGAUGUGCCCAAACGUAUCAUAAGGCACGCGGUGAAUGCCAAGAGGCACGCUUGCUAAUCAGCCAAUCAGGA
rnacentral:precursor_RNA from 14 species